rnacentral:lncRNA from 1 species
CCGCGGGCGCCCCCUGGUCGCGUGGAGGGCGAUGAGCGAACGACCCGGGACUUGUCUGAAUGGGACCCCAGCAAGGCACACGUGGUCUUCAAUGCGAUGGGCGCUUCCAGGGGACCCGGCGUCCCUUGGGUCCAGGAAGUCUUAUACUGUCUCCUCUCACGGCCCCGACAGAAACGGUUUCUGAGGAGUAGAAGUGUCCUAAGUGGAUUGGAAAUUACAAAUGCCGGAAAGAACCUAGGGAUGGAAAGCAGCCCUCGACUCAGCCCACCAGCACCCAGUUGAAAUAAACAGCCAUGUUGCUCACAGAAAGCCUGUUUGGUGAUCUCUUCACACGGACACAUGAAACAUUUGGUGCCAAAGACCCGGGUCAGUGGGACUCCUUUUGGAGACCAGUCCCCUGUCCUCACCCUCACUCCGUGAAGAGAUCCACCUACGACCUCAGGUCCUCAGACCAACCAGCCCAAGGAACAUCUCACCGAUUUUAAAUCAG